AUUCUUUUAGUCUCUCAACUCAGCACCGACCCCUCCCUAGCUUCCUCCAUCCUCUCCUCUGCUUCCUCCGAUUGAAGCUCACUGGAGGGGCAGCCUCCACGGAUGUCGCUGGUGGCGUCGGUGGCCGCGCCGAAGCUGCCAUGCGCCGCCCCUCCCCACUGCAUUUUGCUAGCAAGGCCCGACGCAGACCCAUCUAGGGUUUCGUGGGCCCACACCGCCGGCCGCCACUCCGCAGCAACGGGUCAGCCAAACCCCGACGCCCCUAGGUCCGACGCUAGGCCCAGGUGUCGGCACUGCCCCCAGGUCCAUCCAGCGCUGCCCCUAGUCAGCUAGUCCAAGGAAUUUUUUUAUGGUCUUGAUUUAUUUGUCUCGCGUUAUCACUGUACCAUGAUUUUGCAAGAGCAAUGAAGGCAUUUAGCACCCAACCCGUGAAGGCAUUUUGUUAGAUCUGCACAUCACCAGACCAAAGAUUCCGAAUUUGCAAUCCUUUAGAAUCUUUACAGUAAUUUAGGAUAGGAAGUUCCAGCAAGCCUAAAGACUCGUCUUGCAGCACUUACAACAAAUAAUGACAACACGAAGUGCAGAAGUGAGGAAGUGGCCUCAUGUUGAUGGUUACUGUAGUUUGCAACUUUGCAUCUUAGUUUAACUCUCAUGUUACCUACUAGUUCAUCCCACGCUGGAGACGACAUGGAAGAUGAGGACUACAUGGAAGAAGAGGACCUGGAGGACCUUGAUGGGAAGGACCUUAAUGAGAAUGACUCCGAUUGUGAAGACAUGGAUGUGAAGGACAUGGAUGGACAUGACUGGGAUGGUGAGGACAGACAUCAGGAAACGGAUGGUGAUGCAGAAAACAUUGGCAGCAACAAUGGUGGAUCAAUCAUCAAUGAGUUUUGUGACUUCUGCAAUGAACAUGACAUGUGGUAAGCAUGUUUGCUAGUGCAAUCAUCAAUCAGCAGCAAACAUGGUGCCAACUGGCUUUUAUCUCUUGAAUACAUAUGGCUGUUUUCUGAACAGCAUAUGGCUGAACAAUGAUAACUUAUGAGUAGAAUGAUCAUGUGCUUCUACUCUAUGUAGUGAUUGCAAAGACAUUUGUAUAUCUAGUUGCUAAUGUAUUUGGUUGAACUCUAGCUUUGUAAUCUGGAUGCUAGUGAUGUGAAAUUGUGAACCAUAUAUUGUUAUC